AGUGAACGCUGGCGGUAGGCUUAACACAUGCAAGUCGAACGGCAGCACAGUAAGAGCUUGCUCUUACGGGUGGCGAGUGGCGGACGGGUGAGGAAUACAUCGGAAUCUACUUUUUCGUGGGGGAUAACGUAGGGAAACUUACGCUAAUACCGCAUACGCCCUACGGGGGAGAGCGGUGGAUCUUCGGACCUUGCGCGAUUGAAUGAGCCGAUGUCGGAUUAGCUAGUUGGCGGGGUAAAGGCCAACCCAGGCGACGAUCCGUAGCUGGUCUGAGAGGAUGGUCAGCCACACUGGAACUGAGCCACGGUCCAGACUCCUACGGGAGGCAGCAGUCGGCAAUAUUCGACAAUGGGCGCAAGCCUGCUCCAGCCCUACCGCGUAGGUGGAGAAGGCCUUCCGGUCGUGAAGCCCGUUUGUUGGGAACGAACAGCAUCCGGCUAAUACCCCGCUGUUCUGACGGUACCCAAAGAAUAAGCACCGGCUAACUACGUG
rnacentral:rRNA from 1 species